CCAGAAGCUGCCCGUGACUUCAUCCUGCGUUCCCUUCCCAUACGCCUCGUCUUCCUCCGACUCGUUCCCCACCCAGCUCACAGCCUCACACCCCCAUACAGCUGCGAGUUCAACGCUUCUCCUUCCUAAUCAGAGCAGUUCCCAUAUGCGUGCAUGGCCAGAGCGAGCGGAAGCCGUCGGCGUAGCCGCCGGAUGCGUCGAGGCGGCAAGAUGCCUGGCGACGGCGACGCUGUAAUGAAACCCCAUGGCCAGGGGGUUGUCAAGCAUGCUGGCCGUGGGAUCCGUAGGCGCGGCGGUGAUGGGGGCCUCAGACAAGUCAUCAACACAGGCAGCGCCGACUCUGAGGUCGAGCACCCAAGCAGCACCGAUUCGGCCAGCGAGGGAUGGAUCUACGUGCCGCCGUCAUCUCCCUCUCAUCUCGUCCUCCUCGACAGCCACCACUCCUACUACACUGCCGUCAUCGUCCUCCUCCCUCCACUCAGACAUGGUAGGCGCUGCGCCGCUGCCUCUCUGCUCUAGAUCUGGAUGGCACCGCCACCCUCAUCCAGAUCCUCCGCCUGACGGCCGCACCUAGAGAGGGGGCAAGGCGAGCAGAGGAGGAGAGAGAUACAAUAGGAGGGGGAGGGCCCGAGACCGGGGGGCGACGCGGCAUGGUGCCAGCAGCGCGUGCGGCGGAGAAGGUGUAGGAAGUGCAGGACACCGGGGCGGCACUACUGAUGCGGGCACGGAAACAACUUGCAUAAAGUUUUACUGACUUAUUAUUCCUUUCUUACACGGAAACAACAACAUUCUAAGCACUUGUUUAUUUCUGCAGGUAUGCCUUAGGAAAGAUCUGCAACGGCUUCUAUGAGAAUCUGUAAUUAUUGUGAUGGAUUUUGCACAUGAUCUGUUAUGCAUUGCAUUCCUAGGAUCAGUUGGCCUACAUUGAGCUGAGAGGAAAGGAAGUAGCUAGGAGGUAUAUGUAUAGCCAUUUAUUCUAUAAAGCAACCAUUACUUUGUAGUUCUGGAGGAUACUCUAUGCAAUCACUUACAGUUCAACACUGUUGUGUAUUUUGAUCAUGAGAACUUUCUGUAUAUACUGUGAAGUGUGAACUAUGUGUGUACUGCUAUGAAAUAUAUCAUAUUGUGAAACAUGGGAUUCAGAAAUGUACAGCGUGGAUCUAGAUU